rnacentral:tRNA from 1 species
GUCAUUGUAGUAUAGUGGUAAGUAUUUCCGUCUGUUACGUGGGUGACCCGGGUUUGAUCCCAGUCAAUGGCA